AAUGAACGCUGGCGGCGCGCCUAAUACAUGCAAGUCGAGCGAGAAGACGUAGCAAUACGUUUGUAAAGCGGCGAACGGGUGAGGAAUACAUGGGUAACCUACCCUCGAGUGGGGAAUAACUAGCCGAAAGGUUAGCUAAUACCGCGUACGCUCCUUGGACUUUGGUUCAGGGAGGAAAGCGAUACCGUGGGUAUCGCGCUCUUGGUUGGGCUCAUGUCCUAUCAGCUUGUUGGUGAGGAACGGCUCACCAAGGCUUCGACGGGUAGCUGGUCUGAGAGGACGAUCAGCCACACUGGCACUGCGACACGGGCCAGACUCCUACGGGAGGCAGCAGUAAGGAAUAUUGCGCAAUGGGCGAAAGCCUGACGCAGCGACGCCGCGUGGGGGAUGAAGGUCUUCGGAUUUGUAAACCCCUUUCGGGAGGGAAGAUGGAACGAGCAAUCGUUCGGACGGUACCUCCAGAGCAGCCACGGCUAACUUCGUGCCAGCAGCCGCCGUAAC
rnacentral:rRNA from 1 species